ensembl:lncRNA
AGGUCAAGUCCUCUAGAGAGCCAUCCACGGUCAUGUCUGUGGCCAGGCCCUCUGCGUGCUGGAAGGGAGUACGGAGAAGGGGCACUGGCCGCUCCAGAGCCCACACUGGACUCUGGGGGCCAGGAGGAAAAUGGAGAUAGCGGCUGCGUUCCGUCUUUCUUUGUGACUUUGUUCUCUCGCAGACUCGUUAAUUCCUGGCAAAAUGUCGAGGGCGAGCAAACCUGGCUGCUUGGAGUACCGACCAGUCUUGUUAUUGUGUUUUUCCUUUGGGAGGGGGAGUUGUUGCGCUUUGAAUAUCAUCUAUCUCCGUGCUUCCCCCCCCACCCCCUGGGCCGAUGAAGUGACUGAAGGAACAAGCUGAAGAUGACUGGUCGGCCUCUCAUCAUCCUUUGCUGGGGGGAGGAGUGGGGAGUGAGGCAGACAGAGAGAGAGGGGGAGGGAGAGAGAGAGAGAGACGUUUCAGCUUGGGGGGUGGGGGGGGCUAAGGAGAUAGAUAUGCAGCGCCUGCCUCGGGACCCUGAGCCCCUCUGCAGAGCUUCUGGACACCAUUCGUUGACACCAAGGACUGGCUACGAUGAGCAUGUAGUCCCUGGCCCGUACACAACCUUGGGGGUAAUAGGGAUAAGAGUGAAAACCUCCCCUCCCCCUGUGCCACGUUGGGAAAAAAGAGAUGGAGCCGGAAAAGGUAAAUCUAAAUCUGACUGACCCCCUCAUACCAACCUUUUCGGGGUCACUCUUCCCUCUAUAGGGGUGCAGUUAAUUAAAAAGUGACGGCUAGGAGUUGUGGACAGGCUGGCGCAUCCAUCUCACUGCUGAGCAACGCGGGCUUGUCUGCUCUACCCCAAGCUGAAGUUGACUGCCAAAGGGCUAUAAAGCCGGAGGUCUGUCUAGAACUGUUUUCGGUUCUCCUAGACGUCCCGUGUUCAAUUAUGGCCUUAAAAGCCCUAAUACAAGUGCAAGAAUGGGUUUGCCAUCGCCCAGGGGCGGGGCGAAGCCUGCGAUGGUGGCGCCUUUGUUAUCUCAAAGUCACUGAAAUCCUUCAGACAGCCCUUUUGUUGGAGGGAGGGGAUUGGUGGGGGAGUCGAGGGUGGGGGGUGUAUUUUUUAUAUAGAAACCUCAGUGCAAGAAAGAAAAAGGAGGAAGCCCAGAGAUCUACAUUUGUUUUUCCUUUCCUUUUUCCAAGAAUAAGUGAAGGAGAGGAUACAACAACCAGGAGAUGAGGCAGAGGUAAACGUGUUGCAGCCUUGCCACUUGAAAUAUGCUAUUUCCUUGAAGUGCAUCAGAUCGAGAACUUCCUUCAUCCUCAUGCCUCCCUUCCACUACCCAUUCAUUUCUUUACCUCUGCCCAAGCAACAGGGGACAGAAAUGACGAGCUGGCAAUGAAGGAGUCAUCCUUAAACUUAUCCCACCAACCUUAAUCAUCGCAGGGUUUUCUCGAUGCAGACCCUGAUUAGAGUUCGUUAAAUGGCGGUGUCCGAGGGACGUGAUUUGUGAGAAGUAAUCCUUGUAAAAAAAAAAAGCAUAUAAACAUAAAUGCUAAUAAAUUAGUUUACUCCACUACA